rnacentral:rRNA from 1 species
AUACGGAGGAUCCGAGCGUUAUCCGGAUUUAUUGGGUUUAAAGGGAGCGUAGGCGGACGCUUAAGUCAGUUGUGAAAGUUUGCGGCUCAACCGUAAAAUUGCAGUUGAUACUGGGUGUCUUGAGUACAGUAGAGGUAGGCGGAAUUCGUGGUGUAGCGGUGAAAUGCUUAGAUAUCACGAAGAACUCCGAUUGCGAAGGCAGCCUGCUGGACUGUAACUGACGCUGAUGCUCGAAAGUGUGGGUAUCAAACAGGAUUAGAUACCCUGGUAGUCCACACAGUAAACGAUGAAUACUCGCUGUUUGCGAUAUACAGUAAGCGGCCAAGCGAAAGCGUUAAGUAUUCCACCUGGGGAGUACGCCGGCAACGGUGAAACUCAAAGGAAUUGACGGGG